rnacentral:rRNA from 1 species
GACAGAGGGUGCAAACGUUGCUCGGAAUCACUGGGCGUAAAGGGCGUGUAGGCGGGUAGGCAAGUCGGGCGUGAAAUCCCUGAGCUCAACUCAGGAACUGCACUCGAAACUGCUUAUCUUGAGUGCCGGAGAGGAAAGCGGAAUACCUGGUGUAGAGGUGAAAUUCGUAGAUAUCAGGUGGAACACCAGUGGCGAAGGCGGCUUACUGGUCCAUUACUGACGCUGAGGUGCGAAAGCGUGGGGAGCAAACAGG